rnacentral:rRNA from 1 species
GAUGAACGCUGGCGGCGUGCCUAAUACAUGCAAGUCGAGCGAACAGACGAGGAGCUUGCUCCUCUGACGUUAGCGGCGGACGGGUGAGUAACACGUGGAUAACCUACCUAUAAGACUGGGAUAACUUCGGGAAACCGGAGCUAAUACCGGAUAAUAUAUUGAACCGCAUGGUUCAAUAGUGAAAGACGGUUUUGCUGUCACUUAUAGAUGGAUCCGCGCCGCAUUAGCUAGUUGGUAAGGUAACGGCUUACCAAGGCAACGAUGCGUAGCCGACGUGAGAGGGUGAUAGGCCACAUUGGAACUGAGACACGGUCCAGACUCCUACGGGAGGCAGCAGUAGGGAAUCUUACGCAAUGGGCGAGAGCUUGACGGAGCAACGCCGAGUGAGUGAUGAAGGUCUUCGGAUCGUAAAACUCUGUUAUUAGGGAAGAACAAAUGUGUAAGUAAAUAUGCACGUAUUGACGGUACCUAAUAAGAAAGCAACGGCUAACUACGUG